rnacentral:rRNA from 1 species
CGGGAAUGCAAGGGUUCUUAAAUCAGUUAUCGUUAAUUUGAUAGAACCUUACUACAUGGUUACCUGGGGAAAUUCUAAAGUUACUACUUGUUGAAAACCUCGACUUCGGAAGGGUGGAAUUAAUUAAAUAAAAAACCAAGGCCCUUCGGGGUUCCUUGGGGAAUCUUAAUAACUUAACGAAUCGCAUGGCCUUGGCCCGGGAAGGGUUCAUUCAAAUUCCUGCCCAAUCAACUUUCAAGGGUAGGAUAUGGGCCUACCUUGGUGCCAACGGGAAACGAGGAAUUAGGGUCCAAUUCCGAAAAGGAAGCCGGAAAAACGGUUCCCCCUUCCAAGGAAGGCAGAAGGGCCCCAAAUUACCCAUUCCCAACCCGGGAAGGAAGGGACAAUAAAACCUGAUCCGGGGUCCUUUUGGGCUUCGAAAUGGAAAGGAGACCAAUCUAAAUCCCUUAACAAGAAACAAUGGAAGGGAAAGCUGGGGGCCAGAAGCCGGGGAAAUUCCAGUUCCAUUAGGGAUAUUUAAAGUGGUGGGAGUAAAAAAGUUCGAAGUGGAACCUGGGGCUGGGUGGGCCGGCCCGCCUCCCCGGGGGACCGGGUCCGGCUGGACCUUUCCUUCGGGGAAAUCCCUGGGCCUUCCUGGGUGGGGGGGGGAACCAGGACUUUUACUGUGAAAAAAUUAGAGUGUUCAAAGCAGGCCUUUGCUCGAAUACAUUAGCAUGGAAUAAUAGAAUAGGACGUGCGGUUCUAUUUUGUUGGUUUCUAGGACCGCCGUAAUGAUUAAUAGGGAUAGUCGGGGGCGUCAGUAUUCAGUUGUCAGAGGUGAAAUUCUUGGAUUUGCUGAAGACUAACUACUGCGAAAGCAUUCGCCAAGGAUGUUUUCAUUAAUCAGGAAACGAAAGUUAGGGAAUCAAAAACAAUCAAAUCCCGCCGAAGCUUUAACCCAUAACCUAUCCCAACUAGGAAUCGGACGGGGAUUCUAUUAUGACCCGCUCGGCCCCUUACGAAAAAUCAAAGUUUUUGGUUUCUGGGGGGAAUAUGGGCCGCAAGGGUGAAAUUUAAAAAAUUUGGCGGAAGGGCCCCCCCAGGGGGGGGACCCUGCGGUU